rnacentral:rRNA from 1 species
GACGAACGCUGGCGGCGUGCCUAAUACAUGCAAGUAGAACGCUGAAGCGAGGAGCUUGCUCUUCUUGGAUGAGUUGCGAACGGGUGAGUAACGCGUAGGUAACCUGCCUUGUAGCGGGGGAUAACUAUUGGAAACGAUAGCUAAUACCGCAUAACAAUGGAUGACACAUGUCAUUUAUUUGAAAGGGGCAAUUGCUCCACUACAAGAUGGACCUGCGUUGUAUUAGCUAGUAGGUGAGGUAAUGGCUCACCUAGGCGACGAUACAUAGCCGACCUGAGAGGGUGAUCGGCCACACUGGGACUGGGACACGGCCCAGACUCCUACGGGAGGCAGCAGUAGGGAAUCUUCGGCAAUGGGGGCAACCCUGACCGAGCAACGCCGCGUGAGUGAAGAAGGUUUUCGGAUCGUAAAGCUCUGUUGUAAGUCAAGAACGGGUGUGAGAGUGGAAAGUUCACACUGUGACGGUAGCUUACCAGAAAGGGACGGCUAACUACGUG